rnacentral:rRNA from 1 species
GGCGAACGGGUGAGAUAAUGUAUCGGAACGUGCCUAGUUAGCGGGGGAUACUACGCGAAAGCGUAGCUUAUACCGCAUACGCCCUACGGGGGAANGCAGGGGAUCGCAAGACCUUGCACUAUUAGAGCGGCCGAUAUCGGAUUAGCUAGUUNGUGGGGUAACGGCUCACCAAGGCGACGAUCCGUAGCUGGUUUUGAGAGGACGAUCAGCCACACUGNGAGCUGAGACACGGGCCAGACUCCUACGGAGAGGCAGNAGUGGGGAAUUUUGGACAACUGGGGGAAACCCGUGAUCCAAGCCAUCCCGCGUGUGCUGAUGAACGGCCUUCGGGUUGUAAAGCACUUUGUGGCAGGAAAGAAACGUCAUGGNGCUAAUACCCCGAUGAAACUGACGGUACCUGCAGAAUAAGCACCGGCUUAACUACAGUGCCAGCUAGCCGNGGAUAAUACGUACGUGUGACAAGACGUUAAUCGGAAUAACGGGUCGUAUAAGCGGUGCGCAGGCGGACACUGGAAAUUAAAUGNUGUGAAAUCCCACGGAGCUAAACUUGUGAGAACUGCAAUUUUNUAACAUACCGAGCAUACGAGUGUGUCAGAGGGAGGUGGAAUUCCGCGUGANAGCAAUAAAAUG